GAUGAACGCUGGCGGCGUGCCUAAUACAUGCAAGUCGAGCGAACAGAUAAGGAGCUUGCUCCUUUGACGUUAGCGGCGGACGGGUGAGUAACACGUGGGUAACCUACCUAUAAGACUGGGAUAACUUCGGGAAACCGGAGCUAAUACCGGAUAACAUUUGGAACCGCAUGGUUCUAAAGUGAAAGAUGGCUUUGCUAUCACUUAUAGAUGGACCCGCGCCGUAUUAGCUAGUUGGUAAGGUAACGGCUUACCAAGGCAACGAUACGUAGCCGACCUGAGAGGGUGAUCGGCCACACGGGAACUGAGACACGGUCCAGGCUCCUACGGGAGGCAGCAGUAGGGAAUCGUCCGCAAUGGGCGAAAGCCUGACGGAGCAACGCCGCGUGAGUGAUGAAGGGGUUCGGCUCGUAAAACUCUGUUAUUAGGGAAGAACAAAUGUGUAAGUAACUGUGCACGUCUUGACGGUACCUAAUCAGAAAGCCACGGCUAACUACGUG
rnacentral:rRNA from 1 species